rnacentral:rRNA from 1 species
UACGUAGGGUGCAAGCGUUGUCCGGAAUUAUUGGGCGUAAAGAGCUCGUAGGCGGUUUGUUGCGUCGGCUGUGAAAUCCCGAGGCUCAACCUCGGGUCUGCAGUCGAUACGAGCAAACUAGAGUGUUGCAGGGGAGACUGGAAUUCCUGGUGUAGCGGUGAAAUGCGCAGAUAUCAGGAGGAACACCGGUGGCGAAGGCGGGUCUCUGGGCAACAACUGACGAUGAGGAGCGAAAGCGUGGGGAGCGAACAGG